CAAAGAACACCCCACUUUCCAAGCAUUUGGUUCUGUCAUAUUUACACAUAAAAGCUGACCAUGACCACCGUAAAUGCCCCUGUGUGUCUCCUUGCUCGGAAUGAGUUUUAUCGGAGCAUCUGCCCGACAGACAAAAUGAAGGCAGUUAAUAGUCUUUCUGAUAACUUAAUGGAACCAAAGCAAAGACAAGUGACUGUCUGGGUGACCAAAUCCAAGCACCAAGAUUUAGGGCCAAUGAGUGAUGGUUGGACAAUAAAUGUGGUUUUAAAGAGACCGGCAUCCAGGGGAGCCUCUUCCAAAAGGCAAAGCACCGCUGAUCGUGAGGUGAAGUAGACACCUGCACAAGAAUAGUGUAUAGAGCGCUGGAAAAAAAUAUGCUUCACUACAGACACAAUAUGUGAAAGUGCUGCUCCAAUAAUAGG